rnacentral:rRNA from 1 species
GACGAACGCUGGCGGCGUGCUUAACACAUGCAAGUCGAACGGAAAGGCCCUGCUUUUGUGGGGUGCUCGAGUGGCGAACGGGUGAGUAACACGUGAGUAACCUGCCCUUGACUUUGGGAUAACUUCAGGAAACUGGGGCUAAUACCGGAUAGGAGCUCCUGCUGAAUGGUGGGGGUUGGAAAGUUUCGGCGGUUGGGGAUGGACUCGCGGCUUAUCAGCUUGUUGGUGGGGUAGUGGCUUACCAAGGCUUUGACGGGUAGCCGGCCUGAGAGGGUGACCGGCCACAUUGGGACUGAGAUACGGCCCAGACUCCUCCGGGAGGCAGCAGUGGGGAAUAUUGCACAAUGGGCGGAAGCCUGAUGCAGCAACUCCGCGUGCGGGAUGACGGCCUUCGGGUUGUAAACCGCUUUCGCCUGUAACGAAGCGUGAGUGACGGUAAUGGGUAAAGAAGCAUCGGCUAACUACGUG